rnacentral:rRNA from 1 species
GAUGAACGCUGGCCGCGUGCCUAAUACAUGCAAGUCGAGCGAACGGACGAGAAGCUUGCUUCUCUGAUGUUAGCGGCGGACGGGUGAGUAACACGUGGAUAACCUACCUAUAAGACUGGGAUAACUUCGGGAAACCGGUGCUAAUACCGGAUAAUAUUUUGAACCGCAUGGUUCAAAAGUGAAAGACGGUCUUGCUGUCACUUAUAGAUGGAUCCGCGCUGCAUUAGCUAGUUGGUAAGGUAACGGCUUACCAAGGCAACGAUGCAUAGCCGACCUGAGAGGGUGAUCGGCCACACUGGAGCUGAGACACGGUCCAGACUCCUACGGGAGGCAGCAGUAGGGAAUCUUCCGCGAUGGGCGAAAGCCUGACGGAGCAACGCCGCGUGAGUGAUGAAGGUCUUCGGAUCGUAAAACUCUGUUAUUAGGGAAGAACAUAUGUGUAAGUAACUGUGCACAUCUUGACGGUACCAAAUCAGAAAGCCACGGCUAACUACGUG